rnacentral:rRNA from 1 species
GAUGAACGCUAGCGGCAGGCCUAAUACAUGCAAGUCGAACGGUGGUAGCAAUACCAUAGUGGCGCACGGGUGCGUAACGCGUAACCAACCUGCCCGAAACUGGGGGAUAGCCCGCCGAAAGGCGGAUUAAUACCGCAUAUACUCGCAGCCUGGCAUCAGGUAACGAGGAAAGAUUUAUUGGUUUCGGAUGGGGUUGCGUGACAUUAGCUAGUUGGCGGGGUAACGGCCCACCAAGGCGACGAUGUCUAGGGGACCUGAGAGGGUGAUCCCCCACACUGGCACUGAGAUACUGGCCAGACUCCUACGGGAGGCAGCAGUAGGGAAUAUUGGGCAAUGGACGAGAGUCUGACCCAGCCAUGCCGCGUGCCGGAUGAAGGCCUUCUGGGUUGUAAACGGCUUUUCUCAGGGAAGAAAACGGGUAUGCGUACCACACUGACGGUACCUGAGGAAUAAGCACCGGCUAACUCCGUGCCAGCAGCCGCGGUAAUAC